GGAAGUAAAAGUCGCAACAAGGUCUCCGUUGGUGAACCAGCGGAGGGAUCAUUACCGAGUUUACAACUCCCAAACCCCUAUGUGAACGUUACCAAACUGUUGCCUCGGCGGGAAAUUUAUGCCCCGGGCGCGUCGCAGCCCCGGACCAAGGCGCCCGCCGGAGGACCAACCAAAACUCUUUUGUAUGUCCCUCGCGGACUUUUAUAAUUCUGAACCAUCUCGGCGCCCCUAGCGGGCGUUUCGAAAAUGAAUCAAAACUUUCAACAACGGAUCUCUUGGUUCUG
rnacentral:misc_RNA from 1 species